rnacentral:lncRNA from 1 species
AAAUGGUAUCAGAGCCAGUGAAGGCUCUAUGGAUCUUAAACAAUUCAAAUUAAAGGUUUAGGGUUGGACCUGUGUCACGAAAACCGUAAGUCAGGCAGAGAGUGGUAAGACCUGCAGUGUGAGUAGAGAAGGAAGUGAAUGAGAAAACCCUAGAAAUUUAAGAUGAAUAUGUUUAGGAGAAAUAGAUCUUCUAGGUCUAGGAGACCAGACGACGAACUCAUAAAUGAUUUAAAUAUUAAUAUAGAUCAGAAUCAGAC